AUUUUCAUGGAGUAGUUCUAAUACAAUUAAAGUGAUCGAUAAUUAGAUGUGAAAUAUUGAAAUUAGGUAUGUGUGUUUAAUUCAGAUGAUACUUUUGUGUUGUGAAAUUGACAAAUGGAAACUUUCAUAUGUUUUAUUUUGCAUUGGGCAUAUGAAUAGGAGCUUGAUUGAACAACGAGUCUGAGUGUCGAGAGAACGAUAUAUAACUACAGAUAUUUGUAUAUAAAUGUAUAUCUAUACGAUGGAGUCUCUUGAUCUCACUACAGUUAUAACUUACUGUAACGUCACCGUAUUAUACUUAUACUACAUAUAUGUUUGGUCUUAUAUUAUAAAAUUCUCACGGAUCUGCAUUUACUUUCUGGCUUGCUUUGAAUUCUCUUAGUACAAUAGAAGAUCAAUCGAUAUAAGACCACAUUGUACACGCUUUUCUUUCAUCUCUACUCAUACAUAUUUGCUACACAUCAUUUUAUAAGUAUAUACCAGCAACCAUAUCAGUGGAUGUCAAUAACCGGAUGUCAGAUUCUUUGAAACAUUUAUAUGAAUAUGAAACACAGCUUGCUCUAUAAUAAAGGAUAGCUUCAUAUUUGUAUUUAUGAUGUAAAUAAUAAAAGAGUAGGUUGUUUGGGGCGACACAUCGACAAAUGUUUAAGAGGUCAAGAACAACUCACCGUCACGCACACAAACCAACGAAUCAAAGAAAAAAUGACAGUAAUGGACUUCCGUGACUACAGGCAACAAACUAUAUCUCCUGUGUUGUAUAUUCAUACAUAUAUAUAAAUUUCUAAAGCGUUUGUUUAUAGCAAAGGUUAUAGCUUUGAUAAAAAGGAAUCAUUUUUUUACUCUUAUCUGUCUAUCGAAAUAUACUUUGAUUUAAUUACCGGC